rnacentral:piRNA from 1 species
GAGAACCCUAGUGGAUUUGGCAAUGUUGG